rnacentral:rRNA from 1 species
GCGCGAAACCUCCGCAAUGUGAGAAAUCGCGACGGGGGGGACCCCAAGUGCCAUUCUUAACGGGAUGGCUUUUCUUAAGUGUAAAAAGCUUUUGGAAUAAGAGCUGGGCAAGACCGGUGCCAGCCGCCGCGGUAACACCGGCAGCUCUAGUGGUAGCCAUUUUUAUUGGGCCUAAAGCGUUCGUAGCCGGUUUAAUAAGUCUCUGGUGGAAUCCCGUAGCUUAACUAUGGGAAUUGCUGGAGAUACUAUUAGACUUGAGGUCGGGAGAGGUUAGAGGUACUCCCAGGGUAGGGGUGAAAUCCUGUAAUCCUGGGAGGACCACCUGUGGCGAAGGCGUCUAACUGGAACGAACCUGACGGUGAGGGACGAAAGCUAGGGGCGCGAACCGGAUUAGAUACCCGGGUAGUCCUAGCCGUAAACGAUGCGGACUUGGUGUUAGGAUGGCUUUGAGCCGCCUAGUGCCGAAGGGAAGCUGUUAAGUCCGCCGCCUGGGAAGUACGGUCGCAAGACUGAAACUUAAAGGAAUUGGCGGGGAGCACCACAACGCGUGGAGCCUG